rnacentral:rRNA from 1 species
UACGUAGGGUGCAAGCGUUAAUCGGAAUUACUGGGCGUAAAGCGUGCGCAGGCGGUUUUGUAAGUUUUGUCGUGAAAUCCCCGGGCUCAACCUGGGAAUGGCGAUGAAGACUGCAAGGCUAGAAUCUGGCAGAGGGGGGGUAGAAUUCCACGUGUAGCAGUGAAAUGCGUAGAGAUGUGGAGGAACACCGAUGGCGAAGGCAGCCCCCUGGGUCAAGAUUGACGCUCAUGCACGAAAGCGUGGGGAGCAACAAGG